AACGAACACUGGCGGCAUGCCUAACACAUGCAAGUCGAACGAGAUCUUCGGGUCUAGUGGCGCACGGGUGCGUAACGCGUGGGAAUCUGCCCUUUGGUUCGGAAUAACAGUUGGAAACGACUGCUAAUACCGGAUGAUGACGAAAGUCCAAAGAUUUAUCGCCAGAGGAUGAGCCCGCGUAGGAUUAGCUAGGUGGUGUGGUAAAGGCGCACCAAGGCGACGAUCCUUAGCUGGUCUGAGAGGAUGAUCAGCCACACUGGGACUGAGACACGGCCCAGACUCCUACGGGAGGCAGCAGUGGGGAAUAUUGGACAAGGGGCGAAAGCCUGAUCCAGCAAUGCCGCGUGAGUGAUGAAGGCCUUAGGGUUGUAAAGCUCUUUUACCCGGGAUGAUAAUGACAGUACCGGGAGAAUAAGCUCCGGCUAACUCCGUGCCAGCCGCCGCGGUAA
rnacentral:rRNA from 1 species